rnacentral:rRNA from 1 species
AUGAAUACUUCAAGGAAGGCUGUGAAAACUGGAGUGUUGAUAAAACAACAGUUUGUUUGCAACAAGUUUCGAAAGCCUGAAGCUGAUGACGGAGGGGCAAAAAAAAUUCCUGUGCUGGAUGAUAUCGUUGAGCAAACAAAAGAUGAUGAUGAAGACGAGGAUAUUGUCUUUCUUGAUGAUGAUAAUAAAACCAAAAAGAGGAGCAAGAAGCGGAAGAGAGAUAAAAUAGUGCAAACUGGUUGCAAAGCUAAGAUGGUUGUCAAACUGAUAGAUGGCAGAUGGGAAGUGAUAUAUUUUGUUGGCGAGCACAACCAUCCACUAGUUGACAAACCAAGUUUGACUAAGUACUUGAGAUCGCACCAAUGUAUCCCACCAGAAGAAAAGGCAUUCCUUACCCACCUACAUAACUGCAACUUGACAACAGUAUUAUUUGCCUGCUCUUGA